AGCCGGUUAGCUCAGUCGGUCAGAGCGUGGGGCUGAUAACACCAAGGUCGUGGGUUUGAUCCCCGUUCGGUCCU
rnacentral:tRNA from 1 species